CGUAAUCAACCUGCCCCUUCAGAGGGGGAUAACAACGGGAAACCGUUGCUAAUACCGCGUACGAUUCACAGGCGGCAUCGCUUGUGAAUGAAAGGUGGCCUCUAUGUAUAAGCUAUCGCUGAAGGAGGGGAUUGCGUCUGAUUAGCUAGUUGGAGGGGUAACGGCCCACCAAGGCAAUGAUCAGUAGCCGGUCUGAGAGGAUGAACGGCCACAUUGGGACUGAGACACGGCCCAA
rnacentral:rRNA from 1 species